rnacentral:rRNA from 1 species
GAUGAACGCUGGCGGCGUGCCUAAUACAUGCAAGUCGAGCGAACGGACGAGAAGCUUGCUUCUCUGAUGUUAGCGGCGGACGGGUGAGUAACACGUGGAUAACCUACCUAUAAGACUGGGAUAACUUCGGGAAACCGGAGCUAAUACCGGAUAAUAUUUUGAACCGCAUGGUUCAAAAGUGAAAGACGGUCUUGCUGUCACUUAUAGAUGGAUCCGCGCUGCAUUAGCUAGUUGGUAAGGUAACGGCUUACCAAGGCAACGAUGCAUAGCCGACCUGAGAGGGUUAUCGGCAACCUGGGAACUGGGACAGGGUCAAGACUCCUACGGGAGGCAGCAGUAGGGAACCUUCGGCAAUGGGGGAAAGCCUGACGGAGCAAGGCGGCGUGAGUGAUGAAGGUCUUCGGUUCGUAAAACUCUGUUAUUAGGGAAGAACAUAUGUGUAAGUAAAUGUGCACAUCUUGACGGUACCUAAUCAGAAAGCCACGGCUAACUACGUG